rnacentral:rRNA from 1 species
AUUGAACGCUGGCGGCAGGCCUAACACAUGCAAGUCGAACGGUAACAGGAAGAAGCUUGCUUCUUUGCUGACGAGUGGCGGACGGGUGAGUCAUGUCUGGGAAACUGCCUGAUGGAGGGGGAUAACUACUGGAAACGGUAGCUAAUACCGCAUAACGUCGCAAGACCAAAGAGGGGGACCUUCGGGCCUCUUGCCAUCGGGUGUGCCCAGAUGGGAUUAGCUAGUAGGUGGGGUAACGGCUCACCUAGGCGACGAUCCCUAGCUGGUCUGAGAGGAGGACCAGCCACACUGGAACUGAGACACGGUCCAGACUCCUACGGGAGGCAGCAGUGGGGAAUAUUGCACAAUGGGCGCAAGCCUGAUGCAGCCAUGCCGCGUGUAUGAAGAAGGCCUUCGGGUUGUAAAGUACUUUCAGCGGGGAGGAAGGGAGUAAAGUUAAUACCUUUACUCAUUGACGUUGCCCGCAGAAGAAGCACCGGCUAACUACGUG